UAAGGUUGCGGCUAUUGAAACGGUCGAAACUGUCACGCCCCACCCCGAGGCCGCUACCGAAUUGGCACGGUUCGGGCGCGGCGGGCGGACCGCCGAACGGACAGCACCUCCCCUGUCCGCCCAAGGCUCAACAACGAGAUCAUGUACAACAAGUCCCCAGGAAAUCAACUUGAAUACAUAUAUGAUCAUGCAACAACAGCGAGAGCACAAACAGUGCUGAACAUUACAAGAGCAAGCGUCACGAGUAGUAAACAUACAAGUGAAACAAAAGAGAGAUACUAAACUAUUACAUCCAUUCAACUUUGAUACAUUUGAUUUCAACUUAACUAUACAUUCAUCCAAAGCAUAAACUUAAAGUUUACAUUUCCAAAAUAGCCUCACACCUAUACAUCAUCUACUCUCAAGUAUAUAGGGUAACAACUAAUGCAAUAGGAAAGCAUCUACCAAUAAGCACUAGGGCGCUAAGCCCUUGCCGCGAUCAUCUGCCGGUCCGCUCUCGUGUGUACCUGUCCCCCAAAACCACACGGGGUGAGAACUAUAUAAAUAUAGUUCCCAGUGGGUUCGACCGCCGACUCCGCCGAUCUUCCCACUAGGUCUAAGCUGGCACAGAUAGAUAGAUAGAAAGAUAUAUGGAAAUAAACUGCUACUAUAUCUACUAUGCCAUCAAAUGCAAGGAAUGCAUGUCACAUCAUCUAGCAAUAUCCUACUAUCAUGCUAGUAUGUUUCAACAGUGUAAUGAAUACAACUACAACAUAGUUAUGCAGUUUACUAUGUCUAAUCAUGGUAUGAAUGCAAUCCACUUAUGCAAUUCCUGUUACCACCCAAUCAAUUAGGCCAACUUGCCUAGGUCUCAAAUCUCAAGGUCCUAGGCAAAGAGCUACCCCGCUCCUUGCCCGACUCGUAUCUCAUAGGUCCGACCCAAUCUCGAAAGUCCUAGGCAAAGAGCUACCCCGCUCCUNNNN
rnacentral:lncRNA from 1 species